AGAAAGUUAAAAUGAGACCAAGUUUUGUUUUUUAAUCUCACUUGGAAGAAAGCUUUUACACAACUUGACAAUUUUCAGAUUUUGAGAGCUCGGCAAAUUCCAAACAACCCCAUAAAGCACUGAGGUAGUGAAAUGCCUGGCUUGCCCUUCCGGGAAGGCUGACUGAAUAGUGAAUCUGGAUAUUCACUUGGUGAACUGGUGGGUAGAUUGGCGGGAUAUUCAACAAAUCAUCGCAUACAGUCCAUUAUUGAGCGUCUAAGAGUGGCAGGUAUCUGGUGUUUAUUGUAAAAAUCAAGUUUUGUGCUGUUUGAAAGCUUUUCAUACGAAAAUGAGAAGGGGAUGUAUCAACAGCUUCGUCUCAUCCCCAAAAGCCCUUCAAGCUCUUCCCCCAGAGUAUCCAGAGAAGAGCGGGGAACCUAUUUGUCACUUCCUUCCAGGAACCUCUGCCAUCACUGUGCCUGCCAAGUCCCUGGGGGGCCACAACACCAUGAAGUUUUCCUUUUGUAGCAAUUUCUUGGCCCAGUUUUUUAAUAUUUUUUAAAAAUACUCGGUUUUAAGGACCUACAGCUGUGUAAUCCUUUUUCCUAUACCAAAUGGUUCAAAGGCAUCAUUUAAAAACUUAAAACCAAGCCGUCAGGCCAAGGCAUCAGUUGGCCAAGGCAAGCGGAGGCGACAGAAUUUUGCAGCAUCUCCUAAAUGCCUACCAGGGACCACCAUAACUCCAGUUUCACUUCAGGAAAAGCGGGCCUGACUGCUGGAGGCAGAAGAAACCUGCGGUAAAGGCGGGCUUAGUGGGGCGGUUCUGCUCUAGCCCUGGUACCCAGGACAGGCUCCAGGGAGCAGCUAGCUGCGGCUGCGGGCGAGCGGAGGAGCCUCGCUAGCCCCGCCCCCGACCUUUGUGACGUAGGACAAUGCCUGCCACGCGUCCGAAUUCCUUCCAGCUCCUAGAGCCAGCGCACAUCCAUAGGGCUUGCUUACACUGGGGCUGGGGGGGGUCCUGCUUUGGGAACCAUGCAUUUCCUAUUUAGACUGGCAGUUUUCCUUAGCCUGUGGGGCUGUCCCAACGCUCAGGGACAAACGAAAGAAGAGAGCACAGAGGAAGUGAAAAUUGAAGUUUUGCAUCGUCCAGAAAACUGCUCCAAAACAAGCAGGAAAGGAGACCUGCUCAAUGCUCAUUAUGACGGCUACUUGGCUAAAGAUGGCUCCAAAUUCUACUGCAGCCGGACACAAGGUGAAGGCCAUCCCAAAUGGUUCGUUCUUGGAGUUGGACAAGUCAUAAAAGGGCUGGACAUUGCUAUGAUGGACAUGUGCCCUGGAGAGAAGAGAAAGGUGAUUAUACCUCCUUCAUUUGCAUAUGGAAAAGAAGGCUAUGGUGAUGCUUGAAGAAGCUUUCCUCUGGCGAAAUGUCCCAGAGCACCCCUGCAUGUCUUAAGUGCAUGUGACUUGCUAGUGCUUUAAUUAACAGUCUAUGUGCAGAGCGCAAGAUUCCACCCAACGCAACUCUGAUGUUUGAGAUUGAACUUUAUGCUGUGACCAAAGGACCACGGAGCAUUGAAACAUUUAAGCAAAUAGACACGGACAACGACCGGCAGCUCUCCAAGACCGAGGUA